UUAUACGUGCUAGUUUUUGGCUGAGUGGUUUGACUCUCUAACAGUUUAAAUUCUCAAAUGGAGUCUAACAACUUUGGGACUUCCAGUAGGAUCCCUGGAACUCUCAAAGGAUGGGGCUCUAAAUUUGUUAAAGUAACAACUGUUUGAGUCAAUUCAAAUUAUGCAAAGUAUAUUAAAAUGUUGUGAAUAAUGUCAGACCUGUACUGUAUUCAUGUUCUUGCUUUCCAGCUAGAGUGGCCUUACAAAAAUGAGUAAAUUCUGUGUAUACAAGCCCUUAUAUUGUUAACUAAAGUAAGCCAAUACAGAUUGGUUCAGAGAAUUAAGUUAAUGCCAAAGCCCUUCGGUUUGCUUGGUAGCUCACUUGCUCGGUUUUAUGCUUUAAAUUUGUUUCUCUUAACGAUGAAGAUCUUUUCAAAGUUGUAAACAUGUACUAGUGUCCAUGUUUGCUGUCCAGGAGGAGUUAAUGGUGUGGUAUUCAUUAAUAACUCAGUGUCUUAUAAGAGAGACUGUUUGAGUUUGUUAGCAUGUAUUCUCAUAGAUUGUCCAUACAUGACAAUUCAAGACUAUGUAAAAGUAACUACAGGUAUAAAGUUUCAGAAGGUGUGAGCAAGUCAUGAAAGGUUUUAAAAGGUUUACAACUUUAAAAUUGUUUACAGAGUUUUCUUUAAGUUACGUGCUAAUGCCAAAAUUACAUUGACCUAAAGUUGAAGUAAAAAAUGUGCACUAAUGUUAGUAAAUAUCUGGAAAUGGUCUAAGUCAUAAAUCUUGGAAUCUGUUUUUGCAAAAACUGUAACGUCUAUUUUAACAGUGUCUGCUUAAUGGGUUACUCUGCCAUUUCUAAAGUUAGGUCCUUUUUAGCUCUGUUAAAUAGUUCUAAGUUAUGUGAGGAUUUUGUGUACUAACUCUUAUGUUCAAGGUGUUUAUUUCUGGUUUAUUCAAUAACAAAAAACAUAAAAUUCAUGUUCUGUCAAGGUAAUCUAUUGUGUACUCUACUGUCUCUGUUAAGUUCAAAUUGAUGAAAAGCAUUGCUAAAUACCUUUAUGAUUAGAUCUGGUCUAAAAGUGUUAAGAUCAUCCUGUCUAAUAAAGGGGUAUCAUUUCAGGAAUUCUAUUCUAACCAGAUACUCUAAGUUCUCUUGGCACCUUUAACAAACUUUCUAAAAAUCAAAGUUCUAAAUUCUCUAAACUUUUGGUAUCUUCAAAAGGGCCCCUGGAGAUAUCAAAAGAUAUAUCUCUCAUAUUACAGAGAUAAUAACCAAUUGGGAUGUUUAAAAGUGCUGCCAAGAUGUAAAACGAUUCAGCACUCUACUAAAAUUCCUCACAACCCACAGGAACAGGCUAUGGUGGAAAAAAAAAAAACCAUCAAUGCCUCAAAAAACAGUUAUUAAAACAAAAAGGGGGAGUGGCUACCCCCCAUCUACAGUUACAUAAGGCCUUGUUUACCAUCAAUAUUUUAGAUUUUUCGAAAGGGUCAAGGGAGGCAAGGUUCCAAAAACAUUGGGGACAUUUAACCGCUAAACCUCAGAUGCUCGUUAGAUGGAGAGACCCUCUCACCCGACUCUGGAGAGGGCCUGACCCACUGAUUCAGUUGGGAAGAGGAUUUGGCUGUGUGUUCCCCAUAGGGGAGUUGACUCCAAUUUGAAUACCGGCCAGAAAUAUCAGGCCUAUGCCCGAUGCAUGGACGCUACUCUUCACUGUGAUCCUGAAGUGCCCAGCCCAGUGACGGGGGAUUUGAUGACCCAAACGUGAUCAUCAAAACACUUCAGGAAGACCUGAAAAAGACGAAGAGAACUCCAAGAAAGCCCCUUUUGGACGAGCCUUAAUGGAUUCUUUCCCUACCUCUUCCCUCUUUUUGGACUGCUUCUCACCCUGCUUUUAAUCCUUGCUAUUGGCCCAUGCAUAAUGAAUAGCCUUAUACAGUUUAUACAACAGCACAUAGAGGCAACAAGGGUAAGACAGGUUGAGGUUCAUUACUAGAGGCUGCCAGCCACAGAGGGCUACGAUCCCCUGAACUGGAGAAGUGUCCCCGGUGCUCUCCACAUUGCCAACGACGGGUAAGAUUCCGGAUGGACCGGAACAACCUAAGACAGGCGGUGGAGAAAGCUCACCACGCUCCCAUAAUAACAAGUCACGCGACACCCCAAGACGGGUAAAGCACCCAGCAUCCUGUACCAACCUAAGACAGGGCUCAUGGCCAAGCUGCCUGGGUUACCAAUGACGGGUAAGGGCAAGGACGGCUGGGGGCAACCUAAGACAGGGACCGCGUGCUAAAACAAAAAAGGGGGAAUAUGUGGGGAAAUUAGUUACAUGAUGGAGCCCAGGGGAAGUAAGGUGGGCAGAAUCCAAAGUUGUUUACCACUAAAACUGAUUGGCUGUGCAACAUCAGGGGAGGUAACAAAACUAGUAACAAGUGUAUAGACAUAUGGCUAGUCCUAUAGAAAUCCCCCCGUAAGGUGAAUUUUUAAGUGAUUGGUUGGUCCUUAGCCCUGCCCCAAUGACUCUGCAGUUUUGUGCUAUAAAAGGUUCUGUUUCUCAGGAAGUAAAUGAGUCCUUGCUAGACUUGGCUCCCCGCUGCGUCUGAUUGUCUCCGGGAUCGGGAGGCUGGGGAACGGGCGAGCGGCGCACUUACCUUUCCUCGGACCCAGUCCAUCCUGUACGGGUGGACUAAUACCCAGCAUCUGGCGCCCAACGUGGGGCUCGAGCAGUAACUUUUCGGCCGAGGCCAAGCGGUCUCUCAGGAUAUAUCCCAAGAUUUGAAAACUAGUGGGAAAAUUAUCCAGAGCAUAAAUUAAUACGGAGCUUACAAAGAGAGGACAGCAGCACAGCAAGCAGAUGGGGAGACCACAGACAGUAAAUGAGAGGAAGAGAAUCUCGCCACGGUGGAAAGACAGAUGCAGAGGGAAAAAUGAAAAUAGAUGAAUUUGCUGCCAUGGAAACCUGUAUGAGGUCACCAGGAGAGCCCUGUUGCUGUGCGGUGUACGGGAUGCGGGCUUACCUCUCUUACCUGCUAGACAAUGAUGUCCAGUUUUGAAUGGAAUGAGAUAAUGCUGUGUAGCCAAAAUGUUUCUCAAAGGUUAAGUAUCCAUUGGCUUCUGCAUAAAUAACACGGAGCAGAAAAAUGCAAAAUGCCACAGGAAAGGAAUCUUGAUCUCCACGUGCUUAAAUUCAGAGACUUCAGAAGAGUUAAACCCAAAAUUAUUAACUAUUUAGUUAUGGUGAAAUGCCAUUAAACUCCACAAGACAAAUGCAACAACCUGCAUCCUCCAUCUGUCAGCAUGCUCCCUGCGUACCUGAUUCCCCUUUCUCAGUUGCAAAUGUUGCAGUUUGCUCCUCCUUUUGUUCCAGUGAAUUUAGAGCUUUGAUAUUCGGCAUCUUGACAUUUGGCCCACUGAGAAAAUGUUCAAAACCUCAGGACAUCCACAGUCAUCACAUCAAGAGCUAUUUGUAUGGGCAGAUGCCUAAAAAUGUUGUGCUACUUGCUGUCUUAAUUAUCACAGAAAAAUCUUAAAACACAGAAGGGAACAUUACAUCCAGCUCUGGAGAGCCCUGGGUGGUCCAGCGAAGGAUUGAAUCACCUUACAAAGCUUUGAGUCACAGCCUGCUCAGCUGCUCCGGGGCUGUCAUCAAGGCUCUUUGCUCCAAAGGAGUUUAUUUCCUGACACUAGCAGGAUGGGAGUUUAGACACAAGACAAGCACAUCACCAGGAUUGAUUUCACCCAGGACCACCAAGGAAUCCACUGAACUCUGAAGAAUACUCAUGUCGCACUCAUGCCCUUUCAGUCACACUUUUGAAAUGAUCUCACGAUAAUAAUUUAAUUUCCUUAAAAAGCGAUCCCUUGCUUCCUUUUGCCUUUCACUUAUGAUUGCAUCUGGCAGAAGCAGCUUGGGUAACACAUUAUUAUGUUGCAGCCUCGUUAUUUGUCAAAAUAUAUUCAUUCUUACCCUCCCUUCACAUUAACGUUAAAUUAUGCCAUCUAGGAUGCAAGCAAAACAAAA